rnacentral:rRNA from 1 species
CAGCCGCCGCGGUAAUACCGGCGGCCCGAGUGGCGGUCACUAUUAUUGGGCUUAAAGCGUCCGUAGCCGGGUUGGGAAGUCCUCCGGGAAAUCUGGCCGCUUAACGGUCAGAAUGCCGGAGGAUACUCCCAGCCUAGGGAGCGGGAGCGGCCGCGGGUAUUCCCGGAGUAGGGGUGAAAUCCUAUAAUCCCGGGAGGACCACCUGUGGCGAAGGCGCUCGGCUGGAACGCGUCCGACGGUGAGGGACGAAGGCCAGGGGAGCAAACCGGAUUAGAUACCCGGGUAGUCCUGGCUGUAAACGAUGCGGACUUUGUGUCGGACAAGCUAUGAGCUUGUCCGGUGCCGGAGGGAAACCGUUAAGUCCGCCGCCUGGGGAGUACGGCCGCAAGGCUGAAACUUAAAGGAAUUGGCGGG